rnacentral:rRNA from 2 species
GGGAAAUGACUCACAGCGGCAGGCCUAACACAUGCAAGUCGAGCGGUGAACAGAUCCAGCUUGCUGGAUGCUGACGAGCGGCGGACGGGUGAGUAAUGCAUAGGAAUCUGCCCGAUAGUGGGGGAUAACCUGGGGAAACCCAGGCUAAUACCGCAUACGUCCUACGGGAGAAAGCAGGGGCUCUUCGGACCUUGCGCUAUCGGAUGAGCCUAUGUCGGAUUAGCUAGUUGGUGAGGUAAUGGCUCACCAAGGCGACGAUCCGUAGCUGGUCUGAGAGGAUGAUCAGCCACAUCGGGACUGAGACACGGCCCGAACUCCUACGGGAGGCAGCAGUGGGGAAUAUUGGACAAUGGGGGCAACCCUGAUCCAGCCAUGCCGCGUGUGUGAAGAAGGCCUUCGGGUUGUAAAGCACUUUCAGUGAGGAAGAAGGCCUUGGGCUUAAUACGUCCGAGGAAGGACAUCACUCACAGAAGAAGCACCGGCUAACUCCGUGCCAGCAGCCGCGGUAAUACGGAGGGUGCGAGCGUUAAUCGGAAUUACUGGGCGUAAAGCGCGCGUAGGUGGCGUGAUAAGCCGGUUGUGAAAGCCCCGGGCUCAACCUGGGAACGGCAUCCGGAACUGUCAUGCUAGAGUGCAGGAGAGGAAGGUAGAAUUCCCGGUGUAGCGGUGAAAUGCGUAGAGAUCGGGAGGAAUACCAGUGGCGAAGGCGGCCUUCUGGACUGACACUGACACUGAGGUGCGAAAGCGUGGGUAGCAAACAGGAUUAGAUACCCUGGUAGUCCACGCCGUAAACGAUGUCGACUAGCCGUUGGGAGCCUCGAGUUCUUAGUGGCGCAGUUAACGCGAUAAGUCGACUUGCCUGGGGAGUACGGCGCGAC